GUAAAAACAGUACAAAGCUUAAAGUAGAUUAAGUGAGGAUAUUCGUACUAUUCUGGCAGACAUGGAAAUUGAGAGUUAGCCUGCUUCAGACCAGACAAACAAUCAUUUUUUGUUCUCAGGCCUGCAUUAUAAAGCAGGCUUUCACCGUAUCCAGGUUGCUUCAGAGUUAACUGAGUGCUUUUUGUUGGUUCACUUUAUAUUGGGGUAAGUCGCCAGAGUAACUUCUGUUGCAAACCCAACCUGCUCAGGCGAUUAGAUUCCAGAUUUAAAUCCAUUCCUACUAUCCAGUUCUAUGGAAAAGAGCAUUGCCACUCCUGGAAGAUUCCUCAGACGUCUGUGCAUGAAUAGCUGGUUCCUACAAGGUUUUUCAAUAGUAUCUAAAGUCUUUGUGUUUCCCUGAUAAGUAUGACAAUUUUAUUACUUGACUUUUUUCCUGUUGGCAACAAACAAUUUAACAACAAUUUUACUGUUCAGAAAAUGUUGACCUUGUAUCAAAGUUGUGCAGAGCCCAUGAUUGUAUUCUGUUCCAAAAAAAGUCAAAAAUGUAACUAAAAUCACAUUAAAAAAAAAAAAAAAUCACAAAUCAGAUUAACCCACAUUUUUUCCACAAUAAAGCAUAGAAAGAAUUCCUACUAUUUAAUGGCAAAGAUUAGCUCAUCUUCAAUUGUCCUGGCAGCAAUACACCUCAAAAAAGUUAGGAAGGAGGCAACAAAAGGUUGGAAAAGUAACAGCUAGACAAAUCUUUGCUCUACCAAUUUGUUUAACUCACAGCAGGUCAGCAGCAUGACAGAGCAACUUAGACUGGCAAAGGUUCUCAGAAGUAAACUACAAAUUGCAGUUGCAGUGUAACAAUUACAGACUAAUGUUUCUCAGUGAAAAGCUGAAUUUGAAUAUCUCAUCAUCUGCAGCACAUAAUAUCAUCAAAAGAGCCCUUGAGCUCGGAAAAAUCUCUGUGCACAAGGGAUGAGACCAAAAUUCAGUAAUGCAUAUCCAUUAUCUUCGGGCCCUCGGGCGCCACUGCAUUAAGACUAGGCGUGAUUCUGUCAUGGAUUCAGUACAUGGGUUUAGGAACACUUCCAGAAAUGAGUGUCUGUGAACACAGUUUGUGUCCACAAAUAUAGGUUAAAGCUCCAUCAUGCA
ensembl:lncRNA